UUUCUUUCAGAAGUUCUGAUUUGCUCUCUCUUGCUGUCUUUGUUAGAGGUUGUUUAUUUAAGUGCGUGUAUUUGAGAGCUUGCAUGCUCCUGUGGUGUUAAAAUAAUUUAAUUGUUGUGUUACAAUAAAUUCUCUUUGUAUUUGAGAGCUUACAUACUCCUGUGUUCCAAAAAUGUAAUUGUUGUGUUACAGUAGAUCUGUGUGAUCCAAUGUCAAAAUUGGAUUUCAUGGAUGGGCAAAUUUACAUUAGUGUAUACAUUCAGAACUCGGAUCUAACAAAAUAAUAAUGAAUGAAUAAAAGAAAGGAAGAGCAG
rnacentral:misc_RNA from 1 species